UACGAAGGGGGCUAGCGUUGCUCGGAAUCACUGGGCGUAAAGCGCACGUAGGCGGAUCUUUAAGUCAGGGGUGAAAUCCUGGGAGCUCAACUCCAGAACUGCCUUUGAUACUGAAGAUCUUGAGUUCGGGAGAGGUGAGUGGAACUGCGAGUGUAGAGGUGAAAUUCGUAGAUAUUCGCAAGAACACCAGUGGCGAAGGCGGCUCACUGGCCCGAUACUGACGCUGAGGCACGAAAGCGUGGGGAGCAAACAGG
rnacentral:rRNA from 1 species